CAUAGUAUAGCGGUUAACACAUCUGCUUUACACGCAGAAGUUCCUGGGUUUGCACCCUAGUG
rnacentral:tRNA from 1 species